UACGGACUGUGCAAACGUUAUUCGGAAUCACUGGGCUUAAAGAGUCCGUAGGCGGCUUGUUAGGUGAGGUGUGAAAUCCCCCGGCUCAACCGAGGAAUUGCGCUUCAAACCGGCAAGCUUGAGGAGGAUAGAGGUGGGCGGAACUGAUGGUGGAGCGGUGAAAUGCGUUGAUAUCAUCAGGAACACCGGAGGCGAAAGCGGUCCACUGGGUCCUUUCUGACGCUGAGGGACGAAAGCUAGGGGAGCGAACGGG
rnacentral:rRNA from 1 species